AGUGAACGCUGGCGGUAGGCCUAACACAUGCAAGUCGAACGGCAGCACAGUAAGAGCUUGCUCUUACGGGUGGCGAGUGGCGGACGGGUGAGGAAUACAUCGGAAUCUACUUUUUCGUGGGGGAUAACGUAGGGAAACUUACGCUAAUACCGCAUACGUCCUACGGGUGAAAGCAGGGGAGCUUCGGACCUUGCGCGACUGAAUGAGCCGAUGCCGGAUUAGCUAGUUGGCGGGGUAAAGGCCCACCAAGGCGACGAUCCGUAGCUGGUCUGAGAGGAUGAUCAGCCACACUGGAACUGAGACACGGUCCAGACUCCUACGGGAGGCAGCAGUGGGGAAUAUUGGGCAAUGGGCGCAAGCCUGAUCCAGCCAUACCGCGUGAGUGAAGAAGGCCUUCGGGUUGUAAAGCCCUUUUGUUGGGAAAGAAAAGCAGCAGGUUAAUACCCCGCUGUUCUGACGGUACCCAAAGAGUAAGCACCGGCUAACUUCGUG
rnacentral:rRNA from 1 species